rnacentral:rRNA from 1 species
ACUCAAAUGAAUUGACGGGGGCCCGCACAAGCGGUGGAGCAUGUGGUUUAAUUCGAUGCAACGCGAAGAACCUUACCUACUCUUGACAUCCACGGAAUUUGGCAGAGAUGCCUUAGUGCCUUCGGGAACCGUGAGACAGGUGCUGCAUGGCUGUCGUCAGCUCGUGUUGUGAAAUGUUGGGUUAAGUCCCGCAACGAGCGCAACCCUUAUCCUUUGUUGCCAGCGAUUCGGUCGGGAACUCAAAGGAGACUGCCGGUGAUAAACCGGAGGAAGGUGGGGAUGACGUCAAGUCAUCAUGGCCCUUACGAGUAGGGCUACACACGUGCUACAAUGGCGCAUACAAAGAGAAGCGACCUCGCGAGAGCAAGCGGACCUCACAAAGUGCGUCGUAGUCCGGAUCGGAGUCUGCAACUCGACUCCGUGAAGUCGGAAUCGCUAGUAAUCGUGGAUCAGAAUGCCACGGUGAAUACGUUCCCGGGCCUUGUACACACCGCCCGU